rnacentral:misc_RNA from 1 species
GAUGAAGAACGUAGCGAAACGCGAUAAGUAAUGUGAAUUGCAGAAUUCAGUGAAUCAUCGAAUCUUUGAACGCACAUUGCGCCCGCUGGUAUUCCGGCGGGCAUGCCUGUUCGAGCGUCAUUUCAACCCUCAAGCCCCCGGGUUUGGUGUUGGGGAUCGGCUCUGCCCUUCUGGGCGGUGCCGCCCCCGAAAUACAUUGGCGGUCUCGCUGCAGCCUCCAUUGCGUAGUAGCUAACACCUCGCAACUGGAACGCGGCGCGGCCAUGCCGUAAAACCCCAACUUCUGAAUGUUGACCUCGGAUCAGGUAGGAAUACCCGCUGAACUUAAGCAUAUCAAUAAGCGGAGGA